rnacentral:rRNA from 1 species
UACGGAGGGUGCAAGCGUUGUCCGGAUUUAUUGGGUUUAAAGGGUGCGUAGGCGGCUGAUUAAGUCAGCGGUGAAAGACUCCGGCUUAACCGGGGCAGUGCCGUUGAUACUGGUUGGCUUGAGUGCUGCAGGGGUACAUGGAAUUGAUGGUGUAGCGGUGAAAUGCAUAGAUACCAUCAGGAACACCGAUAGCGAAGGCAUUGUACUGGGCAGCAACUGACGCUGAGGCACGAAAGUGUGGGGAUCGAACAGG